rnacentral:rRNA from 1 species
UACGGAGGGGGCUAGCGUUGUUCGGAAUUACUGGGCGUAAAGCGCACGUAGGCGGCUUUGUAAGUUAGAGGUGAAAGCCCGGGGCUCAACUCCGGAAUUGCCUUUAAGACUGCAUCGAUAGAAUUGUGGAGAGGUAAGUGGAAUUCCGAGUGUAGAGGUGAAAUUCGUAGAUAUUCGGAAGAACACCAGUGGCGAAGGCGACUUACUGGACACAUAUUGACGCUGAGGUGCGAAAGCGUGGGGAGCAAACAGG